CAGCCGCCGCGGUAAUACGAAGGGGGCUAGCGUUGUUCGGAAUUACUGGGCGUAAAGCGCACGUAGGCGGAUAUUUAAAUCAGGGGUGAAAUCCCAGAGCUCAACUCUGGAACUGCCUUUGAUACUGGGUAUCUUGAGUAUGGAAGAGGUGAGUGGAAUUCCGAGUGUAGAGGUGAAAUUCGUAGAUAUUCGGAGGAACACCAGUGGCGAAGGCGGCUCACUGGUCCAUUACUGACGCUGAGGUGCGAAAGCGUGGGGAGCAAACAGGAUUAGAUACCCCAGUAGUCCCUGUCUCUUAUAC
rnacentral:rRNA from 1 species